GUGGGGAAUAUUGGACAAUGGGCGAAAGCCUGAUCCAGCCAUGCCGCGUGUGUGAAGAAGGUCUUCGGAUUGUAAAGCACUUUAAGUUGGGAGGAAGGGCAGUAAGUUAAUACCUUACUGUUUUGACGUUACCGACAGAAUAAGCACCGGCUAACUUCGUGCCAGCAGCCGCGGUAAUACGAAGGGUGCAAGCGUUAAUCGGAAUUACUGGGCGUAAAGCGCGCGUAGGUGGUUUUGUAAGUUGGAGGUGAAAUCCCCGGGCUCAACCUGGGAACUGCCUCCAAAACUGCAUGACUAGAGUACGGUAGAGGGUAGUGGAAUUUCCUAUGUAGCGGUGAAAUGCGUAGAUAUAGGAAGGAACACCAGUGGCGAAGGCGACUACCUGGACUGAUACUGACACUGAGGUGCGAAAGCGUGGGGAGCAAACAGGAUUAGAAACCCCUGUAGUCC
rnacentral:rRNA from 1 species